rnacentral:rRNA from 1 species
UGAGCUUGAUCAUGGCUCAGAUUGAACGCUGGCGGCAGGCCUAACACAUGCAAGUCGAGCGGUAGCACAAGGAGCUUGCUCCUGGGUGACGAGCGGCGGACGGGUGAGUAAUGUCUGGGAAACUGCCCGAUGGAGGGGGAUAACUACUGGAAACGGUAGCUAAUACCGCAUAACGUCUUCGGACCAAAGUGGGGGACCUUCGGGCCUCACACCAUCGGAUGUGCCCAGAUGGGAUUAGCUAGUAGGUGAGGUAAUGGCUCACCUAGGCGACGAUCCCUAGCUGGUCUGAGAGGAUGACCAGCCACACUGGAACUGAGACACGGUCCAGACUCCUACGGGAGGCAGCAGUGGGGAAUAUUGCACAAUGGGCGCAAGCCUGAUGCAGCCAUGCCGCGUGUGUGAAGAAGGCCUUCGGGUUGUAAAGCACUUUCAGCGAGGAGGAAGGGUUCAGUGUUAAUAGCACUGUUCAUUGACGUACUCGC